GUCGUUUGGUUGUAAGGUUUCAGCUAGAUUAUAAUCUUUAUCUGCAAUAUACUCAUUGUUUGGUUACUUGAGCAACAUUGUUCAUGGCCCGUUUUUAACUUCUGAGGCCCGCACUAUUCAUGUAAUAUUCGACUGGUUGGAAUCGGGAUUUUUUCGGCAGUUUAUUAGCUGACAUCGAACGGCGUGCCUGUUUAACACCCUUUUUCCCCAAUUGUCCAUCCCCAUUUCAAAUCGAAUUUGAAAUCUUCGCAGCUCAAAUUGAAAAACCCCUUUUUGAAAAUGGGAAGAAAGUGCUACUCCUCACCACCCGGAGACGGGAGCCAAUGCACAAAGGUCUGAUUUAGUCUGCUCAAGGGAAGCAGCCCAGAGCUAAAGCCUCGUAGCAGACGAAAUUGGUAAUCCUUUAGUAGUAGUCGGCGGUAUUUUGUAGGUGACAGUGGAAUCGAUUUAGCUCGUAGAAGGUAAUUUCAUCUUUUUGCAACCCUAUUGUGAUUUUAUGCUGACGUCUCAGAUGUAUUUUUUGGAGUAAUUGUUCGGAUCUGGAUGUUAAAAAUUAUCGCGUGAUUUUGUGUGUUUCCUUA